AGGAGGAGAGUGAUGUUGACGGGGAAACAGCAAGGCAAAGAGACUGUAGGUAAUGUGGAAGAGGAAACAUCGAGGCAGAGAGAAUGUCAGUGAUGUGGAAGAGAAAACAUCAAGGCAGAGAGAAUGUCAGUGAUGUGGAAGAGAAAACAUCAAGGCAGAGAGAAUGUCAGUGAUGUGGAAGAGAAAACAUCAAGGCAAAGAGAAUGUCAGUGAUGUGGAAGAGGGAACAUCAAGGCAAAGAGAAUGUCAGUGAUGUGGAAGAGAAAACAUCAAGGCAAAGAGAAUGGAGGUGAUGUGGAAGAGAAAACAUCAAGGCAAAGAGAAUGUCAGUGAUGUGGAAGAGGAAACAUCAAGGCAAAGAGAAUGUCAGUGAUGUGGAAGAGGAAACAUCAAGGCAAAGAGAAUGUCAGUGAUGUGGAAGAGGGAACAUCAAGGCAAAGAGAAUGGAGGUGAUGUGGAAGAGGAAACAUCAAGGCAAAGAGAAUGUCAGUGAUGUGGAAGAGAAAACAUCAAGGCAAAGAGAAUGUCAGUGAUGUGGAAGAGGGAACAUCAAGGCAAAGAGAAUGUUAGUGAUGUGGAAGAGGGAACAUCAAGGCAAAGAGAAUGUCAGUGAUGUGGAAGAGAAAACAUCAAGGCAAAGAGAAUGUCAGUGAUGUGGAAGAGGGAACAUCAAGGCAAAGAGAAUGUUAGUGAUGUGGAAGAGGGAACAUCAAGGCAAAGAGAAUGUCAGUGAUGUGGAAGAGGGAAUAUCAAGGCAAAGAGAAUGUCAGUGAUGUGGAAGAGGGAACAUCAAGGCAAAGAGAAUGUCAGUGAUGUGGAAGAGGGAACAUCAAGGCAAAGAGAAUGUCAGUGAUGUGGAAGAGGGAACAUCAAGGCAAAGAGAAUGGAGGUGACGUUGAAGAGGGAGGAGCCAGGCUUUGUACGUAACGGUCACAUUAUCAAACAUUACAGCGGCCAAGCUAACAGGGAUUUCGUGGGAGUUUCAGGCACUUCCAGGGGCAGUUUAAUGACCCUGGUGGCAGUCUGACCCUUCCUCUGUACCGUGAACCUAAGAAAACACUCACUAGAACUUGACUCAUCUCCUUUUUGGCCUUUGGAAAUGGUCGAUGUGAGAGGCGGAAGCGUUUAAAAUAUCAACCUGAGUCUCGUUUCUUCCCUGAUAACCAACCCUUCUCCCAGUGACUCUUUCCACACACUGCACCGGAAAACAACAAUGACUGCCCUGCUCUUCCCCCUUACAGCCAAGACACAACACUGCUGGUCAC